CCCUUAGAUGUCCGGGGCUGCACGCGCGCUACACUGAAGGAAUCAGCGUGCUAAAACCAUUGUCGAAAGGCAUUGGUAAACCCAUUAAAAUCCUACGUGAUUGGGAUCGGGAAUUGCAAUUAUUUCCCUUGAACGAGGAAUUCCCAGUAAGUGUGGGUCAUAAGCUCGCGUUGAUUACGUCCCCGCCCUUUGUACACACCGCCCGUCGCUGCCCGGGACUGAGCCGUUUCGAGAAAAGCGGGGACUGCUGCUGUCGGGGCUUUCGGGCCUUGGCUUCGGUGGAAACCGCUUUAAUCGCAGUGGCUUGAACCGGGCAAAAGUCGUANCA
rnacentral:rRNA from 1 species